rnacentral:rRNA from 1 species
AGCGAACGCUGGCGGCAGGCCUAACACAUGCAAGUCGAACGAGCACUUCGGGCUUAGUGGCGGACGGGUGAGUAACACGUGGGAACGUGCCCUUAGGUUCGGAAUAACUCUGGGAAACUUGUGCUAAUACCGAAUGUGCCCUUUGGGGGAAAGAUUUAUCGCCUUGAGAUCGGCCCGCGUCUGAUUAGCUAGUUGGUUGAGGAAAUGGCUCACCAAGGCGCCGAUCAGUAGUUGGUCUGAGAGGUUGAUAAGCCACAUUGGGACUGAGACACGGCCCAAACUCCUACGGGAGGCAGCAGUGGGGAAUCUUGCGCAAUGGGCGAAAGCCUGACGCAGCCAUGCCGCGUGAAUGAUGAAGGUCUUAGGAUUGUAAAAUUCUUUCACCGGGGACGAUAAUGACGGUACCCGGAGAAGAAGCCCCGGCUAACUUCGUG